rnacentral:rRNA from 1 species
CGGAUGACCUGUGGAUCGGAGUGAAAGGCUAAUCAAGCUCGGAGAUAGCUGGUUCUCCUCGAAAGCUAUUUAGGUAGCGCCUCAUGUAUCACUGUAGGGGGUAGAGCACUGUUUCGGCUAGGGGGUCAUCCCGACUUACCAAACCGAUGCAAACUCCGAAUACCUACAAGUGCCGAGCAUGGGAGACACACGGCGGGUGCUAACGUCCGUCGUGAAAAGGGAACAACCCAGACCGUCAGCUAAGGUCCCAAAGUUAUGGUUAAGUGGGAAACGAUGUGGGAAGGCUUAGACAGCUAGGAGGUUGGCUUAGAAGCAGCCACCCUUUAAGAAAGCGUAAUAGCUCACUAGUCGAGUCGGCCUGCGCGGAAGAUGUAACGGGGCUCAAACCAUACACCGAAGCUACGGGUAUCACCUUCGGGUGAUGCGGUAGAGGAGCGUUCUGUAAGCCUGUGAAGGUGAGUUGAGAAGCUUGCUGGAGGUAUCAGAAGUGCGAAUGCUGACAUGAGUAACGAUAAUGGGUGUGAAAAACACCCACGCCGAAAGACCAAGGUUUCCUGCGCAACGUUAAUCGACGCAGGGUUAGUCGGUCCCUAAGGCGAGGCUGAAAAGCGUAGUCGAUGGAAAACAGGUUAAUAUUCCUGUACUUCUGGUUAUUGCGAUGGAGGGACGGAGAAGGCUAGGCCAGCUUGGCGUUGGUUGUCCAAGUUUAAGGUGGUAGGCUGGAAUCUUAGGUAAAUCCGGGAUUCUAAGGCCGAGAGCUGAUGACGAGUUAUCUUUUAGAUGACGAAGUGGUUGAUGCCAUGCUUCCAAGAAAAGCUUCUAAGCUUCAGGUAACCAGGAACCGUACCCCAAACCGACACAGGUGGUUGGGUAGAGAAUACCAAGGCGCUUGAGAGAACUCGGGUGAAGGAACUAGGCAAAAUGGCACCGUAACUUCGGGAGAAGGUGCGCCGGUGAGGGUGAAGGACUUGCUCCGUAAGCUCAUGCCGGUCGAAGAUACCAGGCCGCUGCGACUGUUUAUUAAAAACACAGCACUCUGCAAACACGAAAGUGGACGUAUAGGGUGUGACGCCUGCCCGGUGCCGGAAGGUUAAUUGAUGGGGUUAGCUAACGCGAAGCUCUUGAUCGAAGCCCCAGUAAACGGAGGCCGUAACCAUAACGGUCCUAAGGUAGCGAAAUUCCUUGUCGGGUAAGUUCCGACCUGCACGAAUGGCGUAACGACGGCCCCGCUGUCUCCACCACAGACUCAGCGAAAUUGAAAUCCCCGUGAAGAUGCAGGGUAUCCGCGGCUAGACGGAAAGACCCCAUGAACCUUUACUAUAGCUUUGCACUGGACUUUGAAUUUGAUUGUGUAGGAUAGGUGGGAGACUUUGAAGCGUGGACGCCAGUUCGCGUGGAGCCAACCUUGAAAUACCACCCUGGCAACUUUGAGGUUCUAACUCAGGUCCGUUAUCCGGAUCGAGGACAGUGUAUGGUGGGUAGUUUGACUGGGGCGGUCUC